AUGGCCGCCAUGGCUAAAAAUAGAACAUAGGGGUAAAAUGCAGUUUUUGGCUUAUAACUCAAAAACCAAAGCAUUUAGAGCAAAUCUGACAGGUUUAAAAGUGUUUAUCAGGUCUAGAUCUAUCUGUCCUGAAAUUUUCAGAUGAAUCGGACAACCUGUUGUUGGGUUGCUACCCCUGAAUUGGUAAUUUUAAGGAAAUUUUGCUGUUUUUGGUUAUUAUCUUGAAUAUUAUUAUAGAUAGAGAUAAACUGUAAACAGCAAUAAUGUUCAGCAAAGUAAGAUUUACAAAUAAGUCACAUGACCAAAAUGGUCAGUUGACCCCUGAAGGAGUUAUUGCCCUUUAUAGUCAAUUUUUAACCAUUUUUUUGUAAAUCUUAGUAAUCUUUUACAAAAAUCUUCUUCUCUGAAACUACUGGUCCAAAUUAAACUAAACUUGGCCACAAUCAUCAUAGGGGUAACUUGUUUAAAAAAUGUGUGGCGUGACCCGGCCAACCAACCAAGAUGGUCG
rnacentral:lncRNA from 1 species